CUGAUCGUGAACCCAGAGAAUUUUGGCUAGACAUGGAAACAACCAAUAUAGCUACAAGAAAAAACAUUGCUACGUUUUUUGUGAAACCCAUUUUGUUUUUCUUGUUUUAUUAGUAUAUUCAAGAAAAUAAAAUGUUAUGUAAUGUUACAGACUCCAAUAAGUCUUAUUUAUAGAACUUGAAAUCUUUGUAGGAGUACCAUUUUUCUAUUCAAUUCUUGCCAUAAAGAGUUCUUUCAUAUUUGUCAACAAUGUUAUAUUUUGGGUUGACCAUAAAAACAUCUUCAUAGCUAUAGAAUGGAGGAUCUAACAAUGAAUUAAUUAUAAGAAAAAGUAUGAAAAAGAAAGAUAUAAUAUCUCAUUUGAUAUCAUUAAAAUUUCAUGAGAUAUUCUAUCUACAAAUGACAUAUUAUCAUUGGUUUGACUUUUUAUAUAGUAUAUAUAAAGUUAAGCUGUAUUAAAUAUUUAUAAAAAGUUGAUUUUUAAUGGAUUUCCCUUACAAUGAAGUUGUUCAGUACUAGAUGCAAUACAUGGAAACUGAAAGGAACGCAUAUUAUUUACUUCCGAAACAUUUUAAAAUUGUUGGCAAAAAAUAUCAAUUUCUGUAUAAUUAUAUAUAUAUAUUUUUGGUAAAUGCCUCUCUUUGUUUUGUUAACUAUAAUUAGGAUAAAACUAGUUUAAUAAAUAUUAAUAUUUUAUGUAUAUAUAUGACUUAGUGAAAAGUUAUGGUUCGUAUAUAUAUAGUCAAAAAUCAACAAUGGGAAAUAAUAUAUAUGGUCAGAUAUUGUUUCGCUUUGGUUAUAAAUAUGGUCAAAUAUUGUACUCUUACUGGAUUGGAAUAGUUAUAAAUAUGUCUUUUUUAUGUUUAUCAUAUUUGUGUAUAUAUGAUGGGAUAAUGAUUAUGAUAGCCAUCCGCGGCUGAAACGGAUCUUAAUGCCCGAAAGUUGGAUAGGGUGGCCUUUACGUAUAGAUUUGCAAAUUAAUGAAUAUAGUCAAAAUAUAUAUGGUCAAAUAUUUUUUUUGUUUAAAAAUAUGGCCAAAUAUUUUUAUACUGUAUUUAAAAUAAAAAAUUAAUAGCUGUAAAUGGACGCAUUUUUAAAUAAAUAUAUGGCAGUGGAGAAAAUUCGAAAUAAUAUCUAGUCAAAUGUUCUAUAAAUAGAUACAAAAUUGUGGCAUAUACUUUAUUACUUAUUGUCUGAAAUUUUUGCAUGUCAAAUGUCAAAUUGUGGCAUAUACUAUCACCAUACAAAAAUUAGCAGAAACUACAUUAAGUUGUAUUUUUGGUUUAGCUAGGAUUUUUUAAUUAAAAUUUAAUUAAAAUUAUACUGAGCGAGUCAAGUAGUCAACAUGGGUUAUACUAUAAGAAAUAUUAUUUUCCUUGAUUAACCGUUUUCUAUUCGAUUCUUUCCAUAAAGAGUUCUAAUUCGUAUUUGUCGACAAUGUUUAUUUUGGGUUGACCAUAAAGUACUAGAUGCAUCACUGGUAAGGGCAGGGAAGCACGUCAUUAAACAUUAUAACACCAAAUUGUCUUAAAGAAGUUUAAAACAACAACUUCUGAUUUUAACUUGGUCCUAAUAGCUAACAAACUUCUUCUCUUCAAAAACAGCUCCUAUACAAACAACAACUUCUGAUCUAAUAACUUGGUCCUGAUAGCUAACAAACUUUCUUCUCCUCAAAAACAGCCUCUUCCACCCAUUUAAAUAAGUGCUCCUAUACAAUUAACAAUAAGAGAUUGGUGAAGCUUAAGAGAUUCAGACCAAAUUUUGUUAACAUAUCAUCACUUGCAUCGGUUUUGGUCAGAGAAACUUUGCCCCCAUCUCUCUUACUCACGCACCUGAAGAACGGUGGACCAGGAUUUUCUUGCGUCCUAGACAUGUACAUCUUCACAAGCUCACCACAUACACUCUUGCUUGGGAAUUAGGUAUUUGAAAAGUUGAUAAAAAAGAAGAGAAGACACGAGUUUAUGUUUUUAAUGAUAGAGUAAAACGUAUCGUUUCACUAUUUAACAGAAGUUUAAGCAAAAUUAAUGGUUGACUUUGGGAUGUUUAAAAUUUCUGAAUCAACAUAAGUUUAGAAUUAUUUCGAGAAAAUUAUGAAAGUUUGAUGAGAAAAAUAUUUGGCUUGUCUAAAAAAUUGAGGGUUUUUAGCGUAUUUUUGUUAGUUUGGGAUUCAAAUGGCGUUUUUCCCUAUAAACACAUAAAUAAUUAAAAUUAUAUACUAAAUGAUAAAAUCAUUUGUAAAACAUGUAUUGACAAUCCAAACAGUAGGCAAGUCAUCUAGUAAAUAAAACAACUUUGUUUGUAAAAAUUACUAGAUUCUUAUGGAAUUAUUUUACAUAAUUUAUAGUUGUCGAUCUAAAAAUUUAAGGUUAAUAAGUUCACUCUUGUAUAAAUAUAUAUAUAGUAGAAUUUUUGCUCUUUUCCUUAAGCCACACCAGCAAAAAUUGACAACCCAUCAUAUUUUUUAAAAACAUUAUAAAAUCUCUAAUAUCUACUAUUUUCUCACUAACUAGAGUCAAUAUAUUAAUGAAACAUAUAAAAAUAAUAGCCCAUAAUCUAUUAAUUAUUUAUUGGAUAUUAACAUCUUAUUAUCUAUUCUAUUAAAAUAGAAGUCACAACCUCAUUUUAUGUGUGAUUUUUUUUAUGUUAGACCAUCCCUUAGAAAAUUACUUAAAUGAAUGUUUCUAUGCACAUUUGAAUUAUUUUAACUAUUUUUAAAAAAUCAAAUAGAUUCUCAUAUUUUAUCUGAAUUACAUCUGAAUAAAAUCUUUUGAUAUCUUUUUAUUUAUCGUUAAAGAAAACAUUUUAAAAUAUUUAAUUACUUCCGUUUGAAUUUAAAAUAUAAAUGUAUAUUUCGUUUUUACUAAAAUAAACAUUUAAAUAUUUAAUUAAUUUCGUAAUUAUUAAAAUAUAAAAGGUAUAUGUAAUUUUUACUAAAAUAAACCUUUUAAGUAUUGAAUUAAUUUUGUAAUUAUAUUACACACAUGUACAAUUUUGUAUUAAAUUUGUGAUAUUAAUUUAACAUAAUACAUUUCAAUUAAAUUUUUCAUCUCUAACAGUUAGGAUUUGUUAAUUUAGAAUUUUAUACCACACUAAUGAAAAUAUGCUAUCAAUAUGAAUGAUCGGUCUACAAAUGCUAUUUUAAAAAUGCAUUCAGUUUUUGUUAUUAAAUAUAAUGGCCGGUUUAUUUUUAUUUUUUAAUAUUAGAAGGAUAUUGCUGUUUUUUUUACACAAAGAUAAUCAAUCUUAUUUUUAUAUAGUCCAUAUUCAUAUAUUAUUAAUUAAUGUAAUUAUUUUUGUUUCUUUUAUUUUGUGCAAUUUUGAGUGUGCAAUCGGUAUUGUACCAAUUUAUGUCAUUAACAUAAAUAACAAUUGAAUGACUGAAAAAAUACAUUUCAAGUGAAUACUUUUUUUUCAGUGUAGUUAUUAACAAAUGUAAUUGUAGGUUUAAGUGUUAAUUAUAUAACAUGAUGUAUGAUAGAUGAAGAAUUGCAAAUAAAAAUUUAACAUUGUAAAGUUUUGGGGUAGAAAAGUCUAAAUCACCAAUAGACAACAUAAAGAAACCUAAAUAUAGAUAAUAAAAAAACAGGUUUAAAAGGACAAAAACAAUGCAUUAUAAUUUCUGAUUUAAUAAUUUAAAUAAAGCGAACGUUUUAUAAAUUACACAAAUAUAUUCGAUUAACAUAUAUGUAUGACCUAUAAAAUACAAGUAAAAUCGUAAGAAAAUUAAUAUCUAAGUUAUAUUAAACGAACAUAAUUUUUCGUAAAUAUCACGUAAUGUCAGGUUUUAGUUAAUGCUCAUAUGGGAAAUAGUAAAAUUUAUGGUGGGAAUAUUAGGUACGGUUUGGAAGAAUUCCUGGAAGUCUUUUAGAAGAUUUCCUGGAAGUCGUCUAGACCCUAAAUAUAACCUCUAAACUAAAUUAACUAACUAAACAUUUCAUAAAAUCAAAUUAAAUGUAAUAAGUGUUUACUAUCACAGAAAUAAACACAUAUAAGUAAAAUUUUAAUUUUUCAAAAAAAACAUUUAAGCUUUUUAAAAUCUAACCCUAAGAAUACAUAUAAUACUACAACAUAUAUUGUCAAACACUAGACAAAAAAGUAUCAUGAUUCACUACUUUAACUCAUCUAUGUUGAAAACAAUUAAAUUUUAUUACAUCUUAAUUUAUAUCACUUAAAACUUGAAUAAUUACAUAAUUUUAAUUUUUCACUUAUCAAAAUAUUUUUUACAAAAUUAUAUAUUAUUUUUAAGUUCAACUAUACCAGAAGACUUCCCAAGACCUCUUUCAGACGACUUACAGUAUCUCAGAAGACUCAGAAGACAUUCUGGGGCUAUAUUCGUAAAAAUAAGUUCUGUUUUUUUGUUUGGUCACAAGGGGUUGGCUGUACUUUUACAAGUCUUUUAGGUUAGUUUUGCAAUUGAUUCAAGUUUGUGUAUAGUUUUUUUAACGCUGAUCUAUUAUCAUGAUAUUAUAAUUAUGAGAAAGAUUACAUAGACGAUCUGACAACCGAUAAUACAACCUGCCUUAUAAGAAUCUACGUCUAACUGCAUCACUUCAACCGUCCUACGGAGAUCAAGCCUGACUGAGUUUACUUGCACCAAGUUUGAGUAUAGUUUUGCAUUUAAAAUCAAGUUUUGAGUCAUAUUUGGCAAAUACUCCUAUUUUAAUAAGAGAAAUAUCACUAUUAAUUUUAAACAAUGAAUUAAUGGAUUUGAAAAUCCGAACUAAAUCUAGUGUUAUUGGUUUUGUGAUUUUAAAAUCUGUAUUAAAAUCAGGUGUUAUUGGUUUAAUGAUUCAUAAAUUAUGUAUUAAAUCAAGUGUUAUUCAAUCGUACGGAUUUACUAAUAUAUUUGAUUUUAUAAUGAAUUUGAAUGAAUUUGUUUAGAUUUUUUAGUUAAAAAUAUAAAGACUCAAAUCCAAGGGAAAACUUCUGGAUUUGCAUAUUUUACUUGGAUUUAUAAAUACUAUAUGGAUUUCUAAAGCAAUCAAAAUAUAUAAACCAAUAACACCUAAAUUACUGCAUGUAAACUAUAAAAUUGUUGUGUUUGAAUUUCUAAAGCAAUCAAAAUAUAUAAACCAAUAACACCUAAAUUACUGCAUGUAAACUAUAAAAUUGUUGUGUUUGAAUAUAUUAUAUUAAAACAUUAGUAAUAUGAUAAACAUUAAAAGUAUAUAUCAAUAAUCAGGUAAAUCAAAUAUUGGGGGAAAUUUUACUUAUACACUUUUCAUGAUACCACUUUUCACUUAUAUCACCACUCAAAGGACAUUUUCAUAAAUAGCACAUUCAUUAAUUGGUAAAAGACUAAACUAACCUUAUCUUUACUUCAAUCUAUCGUCUCCUUCUUCUCCACCGUCGUGAUCCUUUUUCUCUCUCCUUUCGGAUCCACCGUCUCUCUCUCCGUCGGAUCCACCGUCUCUCUCUCCGUUAGAUCCGCCGUCUCUCUUUCCGAGAUCCAUCGUCUCUCUCCCUGUGGAGAUCGUUCUUCUCUCUCCGUUGAGAUCUGUCGCCAUCUCCGACGAGAUCCAUUGUCGUCUCCGUUGAGUUCCAUCGUCACUCUCUCUCACGCAUCUAGCGAUAAGCAAUUACGAGAAUCACGAUUCAAAACCUCAAAGAUGUUGGCUCCUCUCCACGAUUCACACUGGUAGAUAGCAAUGAAUUUUGCACAUCUUUGAGAUUGCGUCCGAGGAUUGAUGAAGCUGGAACAGAACCACUAGACAAUCUAAAAGUGAUUAUCCAAUCGGUGUCUUGGUCAAUAAUGUGAAGCAUUUUAUAAAAGAUUAUAAAUUUAUUUUUAUAAGGGUUUAUAAAUUAGAAGUUUGUAGAGACUUAUAAAACGUUGUUUAUUCUUUAUUACUUCUUGUGGUUAAUACAAUGUUUGGAUUUCUUGAUGAAUACAAACAUUUGGUGACCCCAACACAUCCUGAUCUUGAUGAUAUGAAUUUUAACAGUGUUGGACAAUUAGUUCAACAAGGACAUAAAAUGAAGAAAAUCUAAUGGGAACAAGGAUUUGUGGAUUUACCUUUUGCAACAUAUGAUAUAGGAAAAUAACACAUGAAAGACGAUAAAAAUGAAGAAAAAAGAAAGCUGAAAAGCAAAUAAGAGUUCAUAAAUCAUUUAUAAAAGUUUAUAAAACAGUUUGCAAAGUUUAUAAGCUAUUUAUAAAGGUUUAUAAAUUAUUUGCAAGAGUAUCUAAACCAUUUAUAAAGGGUUAUAGAACAAUUAAUAAAGUCUAUAAACCAUUUAUAACUGUUUAUAAAAACAUUAUGAAAUUUUAUAAACAAUUUAUAAGGGAUAUGUAUACAAUUUAUAUGGUUUAUAGGUUUAGGAAUCAAUUAGAAAGUCUCUUAAAUAAUUUAUAAGAGUCUAUAAUAAUUUAUAAAGAAUUAUAAAAAUAAUUUAUAAGAGUUUGUAAAAUAAUUUAUAAGGGUUUAUAAGGAUAUAUAAAUAAUUAAUAAUAGUUUAUAAAUCAUUUAUAAAAAUUUAUUUAAAUUUUUUAUGAAUUUUAUAAACCUAUUAUAAAGGCUGAUAAAACAGUUUAUAAAGUAUAUAAACUAUUUAUAAAUGUUUAUUACAAAAUUAUAAGAGUUUAUAAAUAAUUCAUAAGGGGAAUGUAUAUAAUUUAUAUGGUUUAUAUAGGUAUAUACAUGUUUAUAAAUCAAUUGGAGGUCUUUAAAUCAAUUAUAAGAGUCUAUAACCAUUUAGAAAGGCUUAUAAAACAAUUUAUAAAGUAUAUAAACUAUAUAUAAAUGUUUAUUACAAAAAUUAUAAAUGUUUAUAAAUAAUUUAUAAGGUUUAUAUAUGUAUAUACAUGUUUAGAAAUCAAUUGGAAGUCUGUAAAUCAAUUAUAAGAGUCUAUAACCAUUUAAAAAGGCUUGUUAUAAGAGUUAAUAAAAUAAUUUUUAAGGGUUUAUAAAGGUAUGUAAAUUAUUUUCAAGGUUUAUAUAGGUAUAUACAUGUUAAGAAAUCAACCAGAGGUCAUUAAAUCAAUUAUAAGAGUCUAUAACCAUUUAGAAAGUCUUAUUAAACAAUAUAUAAGAGUUAAUAGAAUAAUUUUUAAGGGUUUAUAAAUGUAUGUAAAUAAUUUAUAAGAGUAUAAAACAUUUAUAAAAGCAAUUUAUAUAUAAGUGAACCAGUUAGAGAUGAACAUCUACAUGGACAUUAUUUUUUGCUCCCCUUUGUAGUUCUUUUGGUCAUAUGAGUGAUUGCACAAAAUCUGACAGCAUUCAACCCCAACCUAAUACACUUCAUAUUAAUCUAUGUGUUUAGUUUGUCUUUUGCUUGUUUGAGAGUUCAUUUUAAGACAUAAAUGGUUUAAUUUGUUCAUAUAAGGAUUUGUAAAAAAAAACAUUCGUCUAAAUUAUAAGGACUUGUAAUGGAUUUUUAAGGAAGAGUUUAUAAACGGAUUAUAAAAAGUUAAUGAAGGGUUUAUAAAUCAGUUUAUAACACCUAUAAAACUAAAAUUAGUUUAUAAACAGUUCAUAAAUCAUUUUACAAGGCUUACAAGAAUUUACAAAAUAGAUAAGAUUUAUAAUUUAUUUAUAACGGUUUAUAAAUUAUUUAGCAAAAUAGUUAACAUUUAUAAGAUUUAUAAACCAUUUAUCUUUUAGUCCAUUGAUUUCUUGGUCUUCUUCAAAUACAUGAGAUACGGUUCACAGUUGCUAGAAUCCUUGCUUGAAGAUUUCAGUGAGAUGGUUUUGAAGCAGAGCAAAAUACAACACUUAUAACACAUUUAACAUUAAAAGCCAGUGACAACAUGUGUAAGAUAAGAAGAAAUAUGCUUCUGUAGCUCAACAAAUCCAUGCUCCAUCUCCACUGCUUCUUCAGAUAUUAUACACAAAAUAAGACAUAAAAGACAUGAAUCUCAUAAAGUAGCAAAACAGAAUGCUAGACUACCAAAAUAAUAACAUUUCACCUCAUUUAUUACACAUACUAAACCUUGUUAGUUAAACUAACUAGUAGCUUUGCAUUACCUCAAGAAAGUGAGGUACUUGAUAUGUAUAUCACCGCAUGAUAUAUGGUGUUUUUCACAUCAUUGUAUAGGUGUUUUUGUAUUGAUUCGAGUCCAUAAUCCGAGUCAGUCUAGUCCUUUUUGAUCUUUUACAGGUCUGGAGUUGGUAGAAGAAUGAAGAGAGCAUGCUUGAAGAGAAGCUGUCCUUUUGGAGCAUUUUGCGGAGAACACUCAAGACGAACAGUCCCGAAACUGUUCUCUAGCAGAACAAGCAGACGGAGUGAUCCCGAGGUUGUUCCCGACAAAUAAGGAAGCUUCUAUUUUCGGGAAUUAAGGCCUUGUUGCCCUAAUUUCUUUUCUACCUAUUGGCGCCUCCAUAUAAAGACGCCAUCUAUCCUAUUUUAUUUCUUACGCUAGUUUUUUACAAGAGAACUAUUAGCUUUUGCGAUCUGCAACUUGUAAGGGAGAAGAAUCCAUUCUCUCAUAGAGAAGACCUUCUGAACCCUUGUUUACUACUCUUAUUAUUAUGCAGUUUCAUUCAGGAUCUAUGUC